rnacentral:rRNA from 1 species
GACGAACGCUGGCGGCGUGCUUAACACAUGCAAGUCGAACGGAAAGGCCCUGCUUUUGUGGGGUGCUCGAGUGGCGAACGGGUGAGUAACACGUGAGUAACCUGCCCUUGACUUUGGGAUAACUUCAGGAAACUGGGGCUAAUACCGGAUAGGAGCUCCUGCUGCAUGGUGGGGGUUGGAAAGUUUCGGCGGUUGGGGAUGGACUCGCGGCUUAUCAGCUUGUUGGUGGGGUAGUGGCUUACCAAGGCUUUGACGGGUAGCCGGCCUGAGAGGGUGACCGGCCACAUUGGGACGGAGAUACGGCCCAGACUCGUACGGGAGGCAGCAGAGGGGAAUAUUGCACAAUGGGCGGAAGCCUGGUGCAGCAACGCCGCGUGCGGGAUGACGGCCUUCGGGUUGUAAACCGCUUUCGCCUGUGACGAAGCGUGAGUGACGGUAAUGGGUAAAGAAGCACCGGCUAACUACGUG